rnacentral:misc_RNA from 1 species
AGUUGAGUUGAGUUGAGUUGUAUCGUCGUUGUACAAUUAGAAACUGUCAUUAUUAUGAAAUCAAAUAUCAUAAGGGUUAAUUACUUUCUAUAUAUCAUUGGAUACAUAUCAAUAGCUGUGAUUGUGAACUAUGUUCUUAGUUCUUACUUACGUGGUCAAUGUUAAGAUUUAAGAAUAAGAAAAGAAAAAGAAAGAGAGGAAAGAAUGGAAAGGAAAGAAAUGGGAGAGAAGGAAAUAACUCAAAAGACUGCAUCUUUAUUCUUCUCAUUCAUACUAUAAAAUAUAAGGUUAUACAUAUAUACAAAUCGCCUAUAAUUACUCUACUUAAUUAGUAAUAUAAAACCUACCUAUAUAGGAAUAUAAAUCCUAUACUAAA